UCACAAGACCCAAUCAAGGCUGGAACGAGUCUUGCUCACUUUUGAGCCAGUCAAUGGCAAAGGGGAAAAGACUACUCCUAGAUGGGUCAAGUGCACCCCCUGACUGAAGAGGAGGUCCAUUUCCCCAGAGAAGAUGACUUCAGUCAGUCAUUCCAUACCUAGGGUGAGAUUGGGGUCAACUCUUCCAGGAGGUGGUUAGAAGACGGACUCCCCUUUCUCCUCAAGCCUCAUUCAAUGGUGGCUCCUCCCUGGGCCCGGAGCCAAGGCCCAGUCUUGGGAAAGAAAUCUCUCUGUACAGUUCAUCAGAAACGACAUAAAACUUACAAACCAGA